GGCACGUGCAAACUCCAUCUUCAUUCAUUAGCAAACUAAUCCGUGGCCCGGCCUGGUGACUCAUGCCUGUAAUCCCAGCACUUUGGGAGGCUGAGGGCCCUGGAGCACCACCGUCCCUCCCCCAGGCCCAGGAUGUGAUUCUGAAUCUACAGUCAGACUGGACCACCUCUCCCCCAUGCCCCCAGAAUGUCCACAGGGGCUCCCUCGCCUACAAUAGAUGGAUUAGGUUCCUCCCUACUCUUCCCACACUGUCAGAGUCUGACUGGUGUGAAGUUCCGGUGUUUUUGUGUGCAUUUUACUACCAGGGUCGGCUAGAUAAGGAGGAGCUUUCAUUACAUCCUGGAGGUCUGUCCCCCGCACACACGCACAGCCGUCCUCCCUUCCCCCAACAUCUGAUCUAAUUCUCUCUCUGCUUUGCUGAGGCUGGCCUGGCCUAAGAGGAUUAGAGCAUUUGCUAAACGGGACCAGGACAGGCAGGGUCAGAGAACCCGCUGUGGGGAGACCCAGGGCCAGGACGGCCACUAGGGGGCGGCAGAGGAAGCGAGACGCGGAGACGGGUGUGGAGGGCUGAGGAGGAGGCACUCGUCGGCUUAGCAGGAAUCAAUGUCCACAAAGUAACCAUGAAGUUUUAUUCAUUUUU
rnacentral:lncRNA from 1 species